rnacentral:rRNA from 1 species
AGAUUGAACGCUGGCGGCAGGCCUAACACAUGCAAGUCGAGCGGUAGAGAGGUGCUUGCACCUCUUGAGAGCGGCGGACGGGUGAGUAAAGCCUAGGAAUCUGCCUGGUAGUGGGGGAUAACGCUCGGAAACGGACGCUAAUACCGCAUACGUCCUACGGGAGAAGGCAGGGGACCUUCGGGCCUUGCGCUAUCAGAUGAGCCUAGGUCGGAUUAGCUAGUUGGUGAGGUAAAGGCUCACCAAGGCGACGAUCCUUAGCUGGUCUGAGAGGAUGAUCAGCCACACUGGGACUGAGACACGGCCCAGACUCCUACGGGAGCAGCAGUAGGGAAUAUUGGACAAGUGGGCGAAAGCCUGAUCCAGCAAUGCCGCGUGAGUGAUGAAGGCCUUA